rnacentral:rRNA from 1 species
UACGUAGGGUGCAAGCGUUGUCCGGAAUUAUUGGGCGUAAAGAGCUCGUAGGCGGUUUGUCGCGUCUGCUGUGAAAACUCAGGGCUUAACCCUGAGCCUGCAGUGGGUACGGGGCAGACUAGAGUGUGGUAGGGGAGAUCGGAAUUCCUGGUGUAGCGGUGGAAUGCGCAGAUAUCAGGAGGAACACCGGUGCGAAGGCG